rnacentral:rRNA from 1 species
CACAUGCAAGUCGAGGGGCAGCAUCUCAGUUUGCUUGCAAACUGGAGAUGGCGACCGGCGCACGGGUGAGUAACACGUAUCCAACCUGCCGAUAACUCGGGGAUAGCCUUUCGAAAGAAAGAUUAAUACCCGAUGGUAUAAUUAGACCGCAUGGUCUUAUUAUUAAAGAAUUUCGGUUAUCGAUGGGGAUGCGUUCCAUUAGGCAGUUGGUGAGGUAACGGCUCACCAAACCUUCGAUGGAUAGGGGUUCUGAGAGGAAGGUCCCCCACAUUGGAACUGAGACACGGUCCAAACUCCUACGGGAGGCAGCAGUGAGGAAUAUUGGUCAAUGGGCGCAGGCCUGAACCAGCCAAGUAGCGUGAAGGAUGACUGCCCUAUGGGUUGUAAACUUCUUUUAUAUGGGAAUAAAGUUUUCCACGUGUGGAAUUUUGUAUGUACCAUAUGAAUAAGGAUCGGCUAACUCCGUGCCAGCAGCCGCGGUAAUACGGAGGAUCCGAGCGUUAUCCGGAUUUAUUGGGUUUAAAGGGAGCGUAGGUGGACAGUUAAGUCAGUUGUGAAAGUUUGCGGCUCAACCGUAAAAUUGCAGUUGAUACUGGCUGUCUUGAGUACAGUAGAGGUGGGCGGAAUUCGUGGUGUAGCGGUGAAAUGCUUAGA